rnacentral:lncRNA from 1 species
AGCCAUCGCAUUAAAAUUACAUUUGUAAACAUUGAAAUUUUAGUGAAAUAAAUGUUGACCAUUGCAUUAAAACUACAACAAUCCACCCAAAUUCACCUACAACCUCCACCCAAAUUCACCUACAACAUACACCCAAAUUCACCUACAACAAUCCACCCAAAUUCACCUACAACCUCCACCCAAAUUCACCUACAACAUACACCCAAAUUCACCUACAACAAUCCAUCCAAAUUCACCUACAACCUCCACCCAAAUUCACCUACAACAAUCCAUCCAAAUUCACCUACAACCUCCACCCAAAUUCACCUACAACAAUCCACC